GAGUUUGAUCCUGGCUCAGGAUGAACGCUGGCGGCGUGCCUAAUACAUGCAAGUCGAGCGAACGGACGAGAAGCUUGCUUCUCUGAUGUUAGCGGCGGACGGGUGAGUAACACGUGGAUAACCUACCUAUAAGACUGGGAUAACUUCGGGAAACCGGAGCUAAUACCGGAUGAUAUUUUGAACCGCAUGGUUCAAAAGUGAAAGACGGUCUUGCUGUCACUUAUAGAUGGAUCCGCGCUGCAUUAGCUAGUUGGUAAGGUAACGGCUUACCAAGGCAACGAUGCAUAGCCGACCUGAGAGGGUGAUCGGCCACACUGGAACUGAGACACGGUCCAGACUCCUACGGGAGGCAGCAGUAGGGAAUCUUCCGCAAUGGGCGAAAGCCUGACGGAGCAACGCCGCGUGAGUGAUGAAGGUCUUCGGAUCGUAAAACUCUGUUAUUAGGGAAGAACAUAUGUGUAAGUAACUGUGCACAUCUUGACGGUACCUAAUCAGAAAGCCACGGCUAACUACGUGCCAGCAGCCGCGGUAAUACGUAGGUGGCAAGCGUUAUCCGGAAUUAUUGGGCGUAAAGCGCGCGUAGGCGGUUUUUUAAGUCUGAUGUGAAAGCCCACGGCUCAACCGUGGAGGGUCAUUGGAAACUGGAAAACUUGAGUGCAGAAGAGGAAAGUGGAAUUCCAUGUGUAGCGGUGAAAUGCGCAGAGAUAUGGAGGAACACCAGUGGCGAAGGCGACUUUCUGGUCUGUAACUGACGCUGAUGUGCGAAAGCGUGGGGAUAAAACAGGAUUAGAUACCCUGGUAGUCCACGCCGUAAACGAUGAGUGCUAAGUGUUAGGGGGUUUCCGCCCCUUAGUGCUGCAGCUAACGCAUUAAGCACUCCGCCUGGGGAGUACGACCGCAAGGUUGAAACUCAAAGGAAUUGACGGGGACCCGCACAAGCGGUGGAGCAUGUGGUUUAAUUCGAAGCAACGCGAAGAACCUUACCAAAUCUUGACAUCCUUUGACAACUCUAGAGAUAGAGCCUUCCCCUUCGGGGGACAAAGUGACAGGUGGUGCAUGGUUGUCGUCAGCUCGUGUCGUGAGAUGUUGGGUUAAGUCCCGCAACGAGCGCAACCCUUAAGCUUAGUUGCCAUCAUUAAGUUGGGCACUCUAAGUUGACUGCCGGUGACAAACCGGAGGAAGGUGGGGAUGACGUCAAAUCAUCAUGCCCCUUAUGAUUUGGGCUACACACGUGCUACAAUGGACAAUACAAAGGGCAGCGAAACCGCGAGGUCAAGCAAAUCCCAUAAAGUUGUUCUCAGUUCGGAUUGUAGUCUGCAACUCGACUACAUGAAGCUGGAAUCGCUAGUAAUCGUAGAUCAGCAUGCUACGGUGAAUACGUUCCCGGGUCUUGUACACACCGCCCGUCACACCACGAGAGUUUGUAACACCCGAAGCCGGUGGAGUAACCUUUUAGGAGCUAGCCGUCGAAGGUGGGACAAAUGAUUGGGGUGAAGUCGUAACAAGGUAGCCGUAUCGGAAGGUGCGGCUGGAUCACC
rnacentral:rRNA from 1 species